rnacentral:rRNA from 1 species
UAGGGAAUCUUCGGCAAUGGGGGCAACCCUGACCGAGCAACGCCGCGUGAGUGAAGAAGGUUUUCGGAUCGUAAAGCUCUGUUGUAAGUCAAGAACGGGUGUGAGAGUGGAAAGUUCACACUGUGACGGUAGCUUACCAGAAAGGGACGGCUAACUACGUGCCAGCAGCCGCGGUAAUACGUAGGUCCCGAGCGUUGUCCGGAUUUAUUGGGCGUAAAGCGAGCGCAGGCGGUUUGAUAAGUCUGAAGUUAAAGGCUGUGGCUCAACCAUAGUUCGCUUUGGAAACUGUCAAACUUGAGUGCAGAAGGGGAGAGUGGAAUUCAAUGUGUAGCGGUGAAAUGCGUAGAUAUAUGGAGGAACACCGGUGGCGAAAGCGGCUCUCUGGUCUGUAACUGACGCUGAGGCUCGAAAGCGUGGGGAGCGAACAGG